rnacentral:rRNA from 1 species
GAUGAACGCUGGCGGCGUGCCUAAUACAUGCAAGUCGAGCGCGAGAAUGAGGAGCUUGCUCCUCAUGAUCGAGCGGCGGACGGGUGAGUAACACGUAGGCAACCUACCCUUGAGAUUGGGAUAACUACCGGAAACGGUAGCUAAUACCGGAUACGACUUUUCCACACAAGUGGAAUUGUUGAAAGGCGGAUUUAUCUGCCGCUCAUGGAUGGGCCUGCGGUGCAUUAGCUAGUUGGUGAGGUAGUGGCUCACCAAGGCGACGAUGCAUAGCCGACCUGAGAGGGUGAUCGGCCACACUGGGACUGAGACACGGCCCAGACUCCUACGGGAGGCAGCAGUAGGGAAUCUUCCGCAAUGGACGCAAGUCUGACGGAGCAACGCCGCGUGAGUGACGAAGGGUUUCGGCUCGUAAAACUCUGUUGUUAAGGAAGAACACUUGAGGUAGUAACUGGCCUUGAGAUGACGGUACUUAACCAGAAAGCCACGGCUAACUACGUGCCAGCAGCCGCGGUAA